AUGUACCAAUAUGCAUAUUUUCCUUGUAUAUGGAUGGAGCCGGAUGAAGUGCAUAGGAUGUCUCUAUUGCAGCUAGCUAAGAGGCAACUUUUUGAACCAGAUACUAAUCUGCUGUACAAUCCUGUGAUAAGAGAACAACACACACCCCAAGGAAAUCCUGAGUAUUCUAGGCAAGGGUGGACAUCGAGCCGCUCUUUCAUAGCUCAGUGCUAUUAUCCUGUCGCUCCUCAUCCUAGAGUCGAUACAGCUGUCACCCUGGGGACUCACGUGAUAUCCAAAGGAUUAGGUUGGGAAUUCCACGAGGUUGAAUAUUCAGUAGCCCCCCCUAGGUACAUUGAAUGGGGAGCUAACAUUUUGAAGAAUCAUUCCAUGCAUUUGAAAGGUAGUGAAGAGAACACAGACUAUAUCUAUGGAGCCAUUUAUUGCUCUUUGGGUGAGUACUCUAUAUCUCCCCCACUUCUGAGGGCUUUGUUAGAGCACUGGGAUCCCAACACUAGCACGUUCUUAUUCCCCUAUGGUGAACGCACAAUCACUCUUCUUGAUAUGAACCAAAUGGCUGGGCUACCCUUAGAUGGUGAUCCGUAUGAAGAAUUUAUACCCCCUACUCAUGAACUGGAUCCUUCUCUCUUGUUGUACCCCAGCUUUUUGCCACAACUCCUUGACAUAUGGAACAAACUCUCCGAAAGCGGCAAUGUAGGUUUUCGGGAAUGGUGCGAUUACUUCCACAAUCGUCUAAACGACACAUUCUUUAUCAAUGGUCUCCAAGACGAGCGCCUCUACACUGCAGCCUAUAUUGCUAUUUGGCUCUGUCGCUUUGUUGUUCCAGGUGGAGGGCCAUAUAUUCAUCCCGGGGUAUUAGUGAUGGCCUCUUGGAUCACAAUAGGGCGUCACAUAUCCUUAGCUCCGCCGGCCCUUUGCUCCUUAUACUAUUCGCUUUGGCUGAUCAGUACUCAUCCCAUUAGUCCCUCCUUUUUGAAAAGGGCAUGGCAAGUCCACUAUCUGAUCAAAUGGAUGGGUAUAUACUUAAGGAAGGUUUUUGGGAAUAAAUCUAGCACCAAAUCACUCCCAUUCUAUAAACAUCCAGCUCCAAAACCAAAAAUGUGGAACACUAUGUCUAGAACUCCACUUUUCCAUGAUCAUGACUCAACACACAAACUUCUUAGAAAGCACACCCAGAUCUCAUGGCACCACUAA
rnacentral:rRNA from 1 species